CGCACCGCUCUGCCCUCUGAAAAAAAAAAAGGUGAAACGAACGGGAUUAAAUCAGACAAAGGGCAAACUUCUGUAAGUGUAUCAUCAAGAUUUUCCUCCACAGACUGGGAAGAGAGCGAGGGAGAGGCGAGAGAGAGGGAGAGGGGCAGCGAAUGGGAGCGCAAGGCGCAGGCAGCGGAACAGCGACAGAGGAGAGGAGAGGAGAGGAGAAGAAGGAGAAGGAGAAGUGGACGCCGCUGCUACACUGCAACACCUUUUCCUGGAAUCCGGCUCCAAUCACACAGGUUUGGCUAACGGUGAAACCUGAGCAGCUGCAGCUCUAUCAGAUCUGAGGAGGAAAGAAUGCAGCCGUCAUUCCUAAACACACACAUUCCUCUAGACUGACUUUAUGAAAUACUCGUCUGAAACAUGCAUUACAAUUGUAAUUUCAUACUAAAUAGUUGUAAAACACCCCCCAAAACCCAAAAUGUAUUCACAGUUGUAUU